rnacentral:rRNA from 1 species
GACGUAGGGUGCGAGCGUUGUCCGGAUUUAUUGGGCGUAAAGAGCUCGUAGGCGGCUCGUCGCGUCGACCGUGAAAACCCGCGGCUUAACUGCGGGCUUGCGGUUGAUACGGGCGGGCUAGAGUUCGGUAGGGGAGACUGGAAUUCCCGGUGUAGCGGUGAAAUGCGCAGAGAUCGGGAGGAACACCCGUAGCGAGGCGGCACUCGUGGGCCGAUACUGACGCUGAGGAGCGAAAGCGUGGGGAGCGAACAGG